GUAGGUGAACCUGCGGAAGGAUCAUUACCGAGUCAGGGGUCUCUUGGCCCCGAACCUCCAACCCUUUGUCAACCAAACUUUGUUGCUUUGGCGGGCCCGUGGAUCUAUCCGCCACCGGCUUCGGCUGGUCAGUGCCCGCCAGAGGUCAUAAACUCUUCUGUUCCGACAGUCUGAGACCAUAUGAAAUAAAUCAAAACUUUCAACAACGGAUCUCUUGGUUCUGGCAUCGAUGAAGAACGCAGCAUCUGAC
rnacentral:misc_RNA from 1 species